GUUUGAUCCUGGCUCAGGACGAACGCUGGCGGCGUGCCUAACACAUGCAAGUCGAGCGAAGUCGCUUGCAACAGAUUCCUUCGGGAUGAAGAUGCAAGUAUCUUAGCGGCGGACGGGUGAGUAACGCGUGAGAAACCUGCCUUUCACAAGGGGAUAGCCUCGGGAAACUGGGAUUAAUACCCUAUGAUACUUUUUAAUCGCCUGAUUUCUAAGUUAAAGCGUAAAGCGGUGAAAGAUGGUCUCGCGUCCCAUUAGUUAGUUGGUGAGGUAGAGGCUCACCAAGACGUCGAUGGGUAGCCGGCCUGAGAGGGUGAACGGCCACACUGGAACUGAGACACGGUCCAGACUCCUACGGGUAGGCAGCAGUGGGGAAUAUUGCACAAUGGAGGAAACUCUGAUGCAGCGACGCCGCGUGAACGACGAAGGCCUUCGGGUCGUAAAGUUCUGUCCUUGGGGACGAUAAUGACGGUACCCAAGGAGGAAGCCCCGGCUAACUACGUGCCAGCAGCCGCGGUAAUACGUAGGGGGCGAGCGUUGUCCGGAAUUAUUGGGCGUAAAGGGUUCGCAGGCGGUUCCUUAAGUCAGAUGUUAAAUGCAUAGGCUCAACCUAUGAGUGCAUUUGAAACUGGGGAACUUGAGUUAAGGAGAGGAAAGUGGAAUUCCUAGUGUAGCGGUGAAAUGCGUAGAUAUUAGGAGGAAUACCAGUGGCGAAGGCGACUUUCUGGACUUAAACUGACGCUGAGGAACGAAAGCAUGGGGAGCAAACAGGAUUAGAUACCCUGGUAGUCCAUGCCGUAAACGAUGAGUGCUAGGUGUUGGGGGUCAAACCUCGGCGCCGCAGCUAACGCAUUAAGCACUCCGCCUGGGGAGUACGUACGCA
rnacentral:rRNA from 1 species